rnacentral:lncRNA from 1 species
CCACACACAGCAUAUGUAGGGAAUCUACCUUUUAAUAUGGUUCAGGGCGACAUAGAUGCUAUCUUUAAGGAUCUCAGCAUAAGGAGUGUACGGGUAGUCAGAGACAAAGACACAGAUAAAUUUAAAGGAUUCUGCUAUAUAGAAUUCGAUGAAGUGGAUUCCCUUAAGGAAGCUUGACAUACGAUGGUGCACUGUUGGGCAAUCAGUCACUUCAUGUGGACAUUGCAGAAGGCAGAAAACAAGAUAAAGGUGGCUUUGGAUUCAGAAAAGGUGUACCAGAUGACGAAGCUUCAGGGAUGACUUCUUAGGAGGCAGGGGAGGUAGUCACCCAGGUGACUGGGAAACAGGCCCCCAACUGGGCAGCCACUUCAGAGAUGGUCCUCCCUUCCACGAUCCAACAUGGAUUUCAAAGAACCGACAGAGGAGGGAAGAGCACAAAGACCACGACUCCAGCUUAAACCUCGAAUGUUGUGACGCCCCUCAAUGAAGUAGCCGAUCCCAACUCUGCUAUCUUCAGGGGUGCCAGACCCAGAGUGGAAUUCGUUCACAAGGAGCAAGAAUGA